CAGGUUUUGUGUCUUUAGGAUGAACGGCAAAUUGACUGUCAGUGUAGAUCUACCAAUGAGCUCCCCCCAGGAUACGACGAGGGUCGACCUCUUUCCAUCCAGCACACGGUUCAACAGUGGCAGAGUGAUAGCAGCAGCUGCCUGGAGGAUCCACAAGAGAAACGGAAAUUGUUCUCAUCCCUUCUGGCAAACCAAGAGCCUUCAUCUGCCUACAGACCUGGGACCAGUUCCCCUUUGUGACUUUCCACUCACCAAGGAAAGUGACAGACAUUAGAUCAGUGUAGAUCCUGUUGAUUUUUUUUCUCUUCUUCCCUUCAGCGCUUCUCAGUUAUUGCUUCCUCUUUUUUUUUUUUUCCAGGGAACUGCCCCCCUGUGAGUUCUGAUUGGUUACCUGUGUUGUGAGUCAAGGUAACCCAUAGUGACCAUUGUCAGUGUGGAGCAAAUGUAAACACGGGCGUAUUUGCAAUGUAAAGCAGAAGAGAGCCAAGCAACCGAUCUGCAAACAGCCGUGUGGGUUAUAUGAGGGUUGACAAGUCAGUGGACGUGUGUGAUGAUCCCACUAAAUAUCAUAUUAAAUCAUUAUGCCAGCUUCAGCUCCACGAGUGAGGAUUUUCAUUUUAUGCCUUUUUUUAUCUGAUGCCUUGCUUAGUUAGUCAUUACAUAUCAGGCUGAUGUAGAUAUAGAUACAUAAAUGUGGACACAAAGGCAGAAAAGGCUUGCAGACAGACACACAUGAAGUAAAGCAGGGGUCUGUCUUUAUUCAGUCCCUGAUGCUCCCUAGUGGCAAAAUUUUGCACCAACACCCGUAACAAAAAGUGUUCAGUGCAUUUCCGUUCCUUCCUCUCUCUUUCAAUAAACAACAAAAGGGGCUUAUAUGGUUAUCAUCGCAGAGUGUGGUUCAGUGAUACUUGGGGGAAUGGGAGAGGUUAUGUGAUCACUGACACUAGUUUCUUGGAAUUCAUUAACUCUUAUGAAAACGGGCCCUCUGCAGCCAGACUGCAUACUGUCACUGCUGUGAUGGUUGCAUAACUACCCUCUCUGUGAACCUCAUAUAACAGAAUCUAACCUGUUGUGCAUACGUUCCCAGAUACAUAAAUAAAAAUGGAACAUGUGGCAUGA